GUUACAAAUUACCACAAACUGGGUGGCUUAAAACAACAUGAAUUUAUUCUCUCCCGGUCCUGGAGGCGAGAAGUCUGAAAUUCAGGCGUUGGCCGGGUUGGUUCUCUCUGGAGGUUCUGAGGAGAAUCUGGUCUGCGCCUCUCCCCUGGCUCUGGUGGUGGCCGGCACCCCUCGGUGCUCUUUGGCUUGGACAGAGUGUGGCCACAGACCUGGCUUCCAGUCAAUGGAAUGUGCGGAAGGGAUGUGCUUCAUUCCAGAUGUGACACAGUACAGAAAGCUUGCUGAAAAAAC